rnacentral:rRNA from 1 species
AUUGAACGCUGGCGGCAUGCCUUACACAUGCAAGUCGAACGGUAACGGGCCUUCGGGUGCCGACGAUUGGCGAACGGGCGAGUAAUACACCGGAACGUGCCCGAUCGUGGGGGAUAACGAGGCGAAAGCUUUGCUAAUACCGCAUCCGAUCUACGGAUGAAAGCAGGGGACCGCAAGGCCUUGUGCGGACGGAGCGGCCGAUGGCGGAUUAGGUAGUUGGUGGGAUAAAAGCUUACCAAGCCGGCGAUUUGUAGCUGGUCUGAGAGGAGGAUCAGCCACACUGGGGCUGAGACACGGCCCAGACUCCUACGGGAGGCAGCAGUGGGGAAUUUUGGACAAUGGGCGCAAGCCUGAUCCAGCCAUGCCGCGUGCAGGAUGAAGGCCUUCGGGUUGUAAACUGCUUUUGUACGGAACGAAAAGCCUUCUUUUAAUACAGGGGGGUCAUGACGGUACCGUAAGAAGAAGCACCGGCUAACUACGUG